GGGGAGCAGUGAAGCUAUAAUCUGAGUAUGGGCCCUGAGGAGCUGCCUCAUUUUAUGGACACGAUGUCGAGCACUCCUCCUCUCUCUCCUCGUCCUGUUGGUUCCUCAUUCUCACCUCCUUACUGCUCUCCACCGGUUGUGACCUUACGGCCCCCUGCCACUCGUCACCUGACUCAGCUCGACCCCUGGAGGAGACACAGCUGGGAACCUGGAGCUGUGGCACAGGGAUAUCCACCCAAUGACACACGCAGUGUGAGUCUUGAAGAUCUGGAUCUGGAUGAGAUUUCCUUAGUGAUAAACGGUGCAUUGAGGUCAAAAAGAGCUCGAGAAGCCCGCAGGUCUGUCACUCAAGCUUCCCUGACGUCACUUACCGAAGAGGAAGUUGGAGCAGAGCAUCAGGAACAUCAUCAAUCAGCGCUGGAGGAGCAGUCCAAUCAGAUGCAUGGCUGCAGUGCCUCCGCCCCCAGCCUGUAUAUGAUGCAGCAGAUGCCUAGAAGCUCCGCCCCUCGCCCCCGCUCCUACUGCCAUGAGAGUGUUUCGUACCACCAGAUUGGAGGAUCAUCUCACAGUAUAGACAGCGAGUUUGCUUCUCCGGGCUGGGACAUAGAUGGAGGGCAAAUAAAGGCUGAGGGGCACAAAAACAAAGAGGACGCCUCAGGAAAUCGUCUGGAGCGAACACUGAGCUUCCUGCGCAAGAUGACUGCUAAAAGCAAGGUAGGGGGCCAGCUUCCUGUCCACUCCUGUGCUUACUGUGUCAAAAGGUAAACCUACGUGGAUGACCAGUAUCAAUUUUUGUUGGCUGUUAUUUUAAUCUGUCAUUAGAAGUGAAGUGUUACCAGUUGCAUAUGGCAUAAUGCUCGUUUUAGUUCAAGAGAGAGGGGGCAGUGUAGUGAAACUGGACAAUAGUCCCAUUCCAGUCCAGCAGAGGGCAGAGUGAGACAAUCCUGCUGAACAGGCAACUGGAUAAUUAAGCAAAAACCCUGUCUGCGUCCCAAUGUGCACACUAUCCAUGCUAAAUUCUAUGUGAUAUUAGUCAUUUUCAAUACUGUUUAGGGCAGAUAAGGUGGAUAGUAUGCACAUUGGGAUGCAGGGAAUGUGUCUCCCUCCUCCACUUGUUCUCUGUAAAAUUUCAGUUUCUGCCAUCAUUAUUGGUUCUCAAGCUAAUAAUACUCACUCUAUACUUUUAUCAAGCUCCCAGCUGAAAUUCCACAGCUUGGUUUGUGCUGAGAAUCAGAUUCCAGCCUGUCAUGAAUCAUAGGAGCCUGGCAAACACUGACUCACUUAGUAGUCAGCUAAAAUGGCUCAGAAAGUGCCACAGAGUCGGCAGGUUUGACAUCUUAUCAAAGCCAUAAUCAUUUCUUUUAUUAAAUUCAGAAAAGUUCCAGCAGUUUUUGUGUUUGAGAGACUGUAGAACACAAAAGAUAUUUUGAAGAAUGUUGGUAACAGUAUUGGUUAACAUUGACUUCCAUUAUAUGGACAAAAAACUGAGACAUUUCUCAAAAUAUGGUCUUUUAUGUUCCACAAAAUUUUUGGGGUGAACUAUCCCUUCAGGUUUCAAUUAAUUGACGUGAUCUAUGGGCUGGUUUGAGAAACACUGACUGAACCAUCAGAAAGUACUGUGCAACAUUAGUUAACAUGAUAUUGGGAGAGUGAGAUGCAAUAUUAUUGUGAAACUCAUAUGACAGAAUGAAUAAAGCCCCUUUUGUAGCUGUUUUAAAGAUGGAUGGCAAUCAAAAUACUGUCUUUGACCCAGUUCACUACUGUGACUCACGAGGAAGCAGGAUUUUAUGGUCGAGUGAUGACAGGUCUGAAGAUGACAUUGUUUUGAGUCAGUAUCACAGUGCUUGUGAAUCAAAGUCCUCGUUUAUUCACAUUAGUGUCUGUCAUGUUCAUGGACUGUCAAAUCUUUACAAGUCUGUUUCAAAGUAAAAAAUAAAAAAGUAAUUAUGAGAAAGUUAACUUAGAAGAUUUGAAUUUGUUUUUAACUACAUUACCAUUCAAAAGUAAGGUUGUUGUUUUUUUUUUCAUUUAUUUGAACGAAAAUAUAGUCAUAGCAGUAAUAUUAUGAAAAUUAUUACAAUUUAAAAUAACCGUAUUAAAAAAGUAUAUAAAAAGCUGAAUUUUCAGUAGCCAUUACGUAAGUCUUCGGUGUCACAUGACCCUUCAAAAAUCAUUCUAAUAUACUGAUUUGCUGAUCAAGAAACAUUUUUGAUGAUCAAAGUUGAAAACCGUUGUAGCUGCUUAAUAGUGUAUGUGUUUAUUUUUUUCAAUAAUUCUAUAAUGGAUAGAAAUAUAUAUGUGUGUGUGUGUGUGUAUAUGUGUAUUUUAUGUUUUCAAUUUCACAUUGCAGACACAUAUAAAAUAUUAGCAUUUUUAUUAUUUGCAAUUAGAGGAAAUGAAGUCACAGUUGUGGAUGAAAGAUGCAAUUACCUUUUUUUUUUUAUUUAUUUAUUUUUCCCCUGACAAGGAAAUAGGUUUUCAUGUAAACUUUCCCAUGUGUCAGUUCAAACCAAUAUAAACUUGUUAGGUCAAGACUCAUCACAUUUAUUGAGUUAUCAUUUAAACUCUUAUCAUCACAGCUAAAGGUCUGUUUGAAUUGGCGGACUUUCCAUGACAUCAUGGCACUAAACAUCACACACAUGCUUUUUUAGAUCUUAAGGGAGCUUCGACAGAAUUGGCACUCGUGAUUAGUCGUCCACUUUAGGGAAUAUGAUUUUCAUGCCAGGCCCGCAGGCUCCAACACAAACAGUCCAGCAAAAGACGGGAGGAGUUUUAUGAGACAGCCUGUUUCUUUGUAAAGCAAGUUGGACCGUUUGCUUAAAUAGCAACGUCUUGUUUUUAAAUAGUUUUUUAAAACCACAUUACCAGAUUUAUAGUACAGUCUAAAGUUUUCUCUAAAUAGGUGUUAUUAGUAACACACUGCUGUCUGAGGUUUUGUUUAAAACGUUCUUCUGCAUUAUAUGGUUAUGAAUUUGAUAGAUCACAACCAUAUGAUCAGCUGGGAAGCACAGACAGACGUUCAUGUGACUAGACUUCCUUGGAAGCGCUUUCUGCUUUUCUCUCUCUCUCUCUGUCAGUUCCAGACGCUUACAUGUGCGUACCCACACACAAACAAUCACACACGGGUCCAGUCAGCUGUUUAAAGCCUGAUCUGGCCCCAUACACACACAAGGAAGGAGCUUGUGAAAGGACAGACUGCAGGCACAAACUCAAAGCAGCAUGACCGGGUUUGUUUUUAACUCUGUCAGCCUUUAGGUAUUAAUUAUUUACCAUUGAGAGGGAACAUUUUGAUUGUAUUGUACAACAUUUUUAGCUUUUAAAAGUGAUUUUAAACUUUAAGGUAAGGCUUCAUCUUUUUAUUAAACGUAUUAUUUGUAGCGAAAGCUAUGCAGCAAAUAUAAAUAUGGUAAUCGUGUAUAGUGUGGUAAAGCUCUUUCUUACUGAGUGGUACCACCACAGUGCAGGGAUAUGUGUGUGUGUGUGUGUGUGUGUGUGUGUGUGUGUGUGUGUGUGUGUGUGUGUGUGUGUGUGUGUGUGUGUGUGUGUAGUGUGUGUAGUGUGUGUUGUGUGUAGUGUGUGUGUGAUGAUUAUUUAGCUGCAAAGUAAACAGUCUGGCAGAGUCAUCUUAUCGUCUGGCCUGUUUCCUCCUCCCAUUAUCUUUUAACUCUCAGCCGUCCCCUCUGUUUUCCUUGUAUCCUUUAGUUGCUCUUUCUGUCCCGCCACUUUAUAAACUCACAUACCUUUCUCUUUUCUGCACCCCUUUACAUUUACGUCUUAACAGAUAAACGUUAAGCAAUACACAUUACAAUCUUCCUUUAUUACCACAGUGCCAUAAAUAAUUUAAAGGUGGGAUUUCUGGUAGCCAAUGUUGACGUUUAAAGAUGAUAUUUCAAAUCACCAAAACAAACAUGCCCCUACCCCAAAAGGGUUUUGCCCCAUUUUGAUAGCUCCGCCCCACACAUACGUAUGCAACCCAGGCAACGAUUAGUUCUGUGAAACAAAGCAAAACCAAUGUUACAACGUGUCUACACCAGACAAAAUACAAUGGAACUCAUUAUAAUCGGUGAUGCUGUCUACACCAUAUAGAUAUAUAUACAUAUCUAUGGUCUACACUGGAUGCGGCGCGGCAAGACACGACAAAUCCCCGACAGAAAACUGCUGCUGCAUUUUAUUCAUGAUGUAUUGACACAAAUUUCAAAUGAUUUUCAUGGGUCGCUUUGUCGCGUCCAGUGUACAAGACAGACUUUAGCUGUUGCGGCGCAGACACAGAAGAAGCAAGAAGAACCAAAGCAACCUCAGCGUCCGAUCGCAGGCCUUCCGCUCCUUGAGUUCUCUCCAGCGCUGGAAAGCUGAUCCGAUAUUUACAUGGGUCCUACUUCUUGCCUUAAGCCUUUCUUUUGUUCCACAGACGUUUUCCUCUUUUGUUUUUUUUUAUCCGUCAUCUCUAUCUUUCUGUCGCUCAGCUCACUAAUGUCCUUCCUGUGCACUAAAGGCUCUCUUCUCCACAUCAUGAGUAGACACGCCCCUUACUGCUGAUUGGCUACAAGUUUGUUUUGCUAGUCGGCCCGAAUCGGUUUUCUAAAGCGUUUUUGAAAAAUCGCUUACCCCACCUUUUAUAGUGAGAAUUUGUCCCUAUACUAAAGUGUUACCAAAAACUGUAAAACAAAAUCAUCCAUUCACCCAGCAUAAAUAAUGUAUUUCAUAAUACAUUUGGACAUCCAGAGACAUUUAGUAAUAUACAGAAUCAAAC
rnacentral:lncRNA from 1 species